AGGCCUCCUAGGACUGCACCCAAAGAAUUCAAACAACAUCCUCCUGUAGCAAGCAACUCAUAUGUUUCCUCAGGAUCUGACAACGCCCUGCACUCCAUAAACAUGCCAUCAGUAACACAGUCUGAAAAUGACAGGGGGUUAUGGAAGAAUAAUCAAAAUAAGGCUAUCAUUCCAAGGAAUGGUGCCGGAUUCCGAAGUCUACCUGAGGUUAUUCCACCGAUGAGAAAGCAGCCUUCUGUUCCACAGGGACCGAUUUUCAGAUCCUCAUCACCAGCCAGCUCUUCAAAUCAAACAUCACAUAUAUCAGG